rnacentral:rRNA from 1 species
CCUACGGGAGGCAGCAGUGAGGAAUAUUGGUCAAUGGACGAGAGACUGAACCAGCCAAGCAGCGUGAAGGAUGAAUGUACUGAGGGUCGUAAACCUCUUUUAUAUGGGAACAAAAUCUUCGACGCGUCGGAUUUUGUAUGUACCUUAUGAAUAAGGAUCGGCUAACUCCGUGCCAGCAGCCGCGGUAAUACGGAGGAUGCGAGCGUUGUCCGGUUUUAUUGGGUUUAAAGGGAGCGUAGGUGGGUUUGUAAGUCAGUUGUCAAAGUGUGGGGCUCAACCCUAACCUGGCAGUUGAAACUGGCAGUCUUGAGUGGGAUAGAGGUAGGCGGAAUGCGAGGUGUAGCGGUGAAAUGCAUAGAUAUCGCGAAGAACUCCGAUUGCGAAGGCAGCUCACUGGAUUGCAACUGACGCUGAGGCACGAAAGUGUGGGUAUCAAACAGGAUUAGAUACCCGUGUAGUC